ACAUUGGAGACUUUAUUGAUGGUGUAGAAAUACACCUUGAUCAGAGGUGUCAUUAUGACCCAAAGCGUUUGCCUGACGGAAGAGUUAAGUUGGACAAAAUUUGUUAUUGUCCUAAACAAAUUGGACACCAUUAAAACAAAAGGGUGAAUGAACGGCCAAUAUAUCAUAUGAUUUUAAUCAACAAUGUGUUGGAUAAAGCAUCAAACAAACAAACCUGAAACAUUUUAAUCAGCAUUGUGUUGGACGCAGCCUACAUACCUGAUGCAUAGAUAUGUGGAACUACAGCAACUUCGAACAAUUUUGAUACUGGGCAUAGCUUAUGUAUUACAUAAAUAAACCGGAGAAACUUUCUCGUGGGAUUAAGCAAGCCGGUGUUUAGGAAAAUAAAAAAAAUAUUUGCAUGACAAUUUCAUUUUUUGUUUACAGUUAAUCGUGUUGUAAACAUGUUUUAUUUGCAUAUUUUGUUACAUUUAGGUUAUUCUUCCAUGUCAUAUUCAGUCAUGUCUCUGUAAAAACAUUAUAUGUAAUAAAGUUAUGAUGUUGUUUGCCUACAAAAUGUGUUAUUGUUCCUAUGCCAAUGAUUUAUCUUACAUAUAUAGAAAUUUAAGUUCAUUUUGGAGUUUUGGAAGUUGUUGUCAUGUCAGGAUUUUAUGGUUCCUUUAUUGGUGUGAAUGUGUUUCAUCCAAUACUUAUCUUUAUUAUAAAUUACAGUUAAUAAAAUAAACGCAUGUAUUAAAAAGACAGAGACUUCAAAGAUUGACUUAUAACACAGACACCUAUUGUGAAGCUAAAUGAUGAUAAGGUAUCUAUAUUUAUACAAGUCUUUAUUCAGGCCCCCGCGGCUAUUUCAAUAUUGAUUUUGUAUCACUGAAAAGAAACACAGAUAAACGUCUCAAACUUAUCUCUUUUCCUGCAAGCUACAUUAACUAGAGGCGUUAAGUCACCGGAAAUAUACUGAACUGGCUCUUCCUCUAUAUUUCCACAUACGAUGCCACCGCUUGGAUGUUUUGAAAUAAGUUCACGUCAUCUACUUUGGAUUGGCAACAUUACCUUUUAAUACUGGACAACUUGGUCAUUCUUUUAACGGCGUAAUGACCAGAUACAGAGGACAUUUGUUUAUUUCAGUGUAACACCGAAAUAUUUCUACAUGUGAACACUAGAUGCAAUAUUAUCAUGGGUGGCAGAGCCAUGAGUGAAAAUGAAAAGUAUAGUGUUGAUGAGUGAACGAUAUUUUGAUUUUACAAGUAAAACAAACAAAUGAUCUUUUUAUUUCAUGUUUUUAUACAAUUUACAAGUUUAUAGUUCUUACCAGUGAACAAUAUAUUUGAUUUUUCACUGUGGAAAUACCAAAUAUGGUUCACUCUGACAAUAUGAUCAUUCGAUUCCCCGUCAAUUCAAAUAAGAUUAAUCUAAAUAUGAUCUUUAUGAGUGGUAGUCAAGCUUCGUUUAUCAUAAACAGAUUAACUAAAUUACUUUAUUCUAUUACAUAAAUAUAUGCAGUACAGAACUCUUUUCUAAUCAUUUUUCCCAUGCAUAGAUGCAGUGUUUUUCAAGUCCGUUAGUAUGUAUAUAUAUAGCAGUUAUUUUAGAGCAAUUAAUAAGUUAUUCAAUGCUAAACAUUAAAAUCUAACAUGAACUUAAUUACUUGGACAUCAUCCUAUCGCUUUUAAUGGCCGAGAAUGUAAAACAGUGAGGAGUUUCAUUAAAAUCUACAUUGUAGAAAAAGUUAUUUUCGCGAAAAAGUUAUUAAAGUUAUGAUUUUUACUACAGACUGUCAUUAUGAAAAUUUUCGUCAGGCCCAAAAAAUGCAAAUUCGACCCUAUCUUUUUUAUUUGCUGAGUUAUCGAUGUAUAUUCUGACCUUUUGAAAAAUCAGGGUUUAAUGAAAUUUUACAUUGUAGAAAUGAAUCCAGUCAGAAGAUGCAGAACUACCUUAAACACGUUAAAAUCUAAAUAUUUACUCUUCAAGGCGUCUCUGACUAAAUUGUAUAAAAACAUGUUCAGGUACAUUGUGUAUGUAUCAAAUCCUUUAUAUGUCGUUUUAUAUUGCAUGCAAUUGUCUCAGCGUGGUUGAAUACAAUGUCCCUUUAGAUGGUCCAAUGCAUCAGCCAUUUGAAAUAAUUCAAAUAUUAGUAUGUACAUUUCUGAAGAAAAGAAACUGCAAUUUUGAUUUCAUAUGUAAACUGGUUUAAAGCCUCGUAUUGUUCCUUUGCCUAACAAAGUACAAACUCAUUUACUUCAUUUUGCAUGUACAAACGUGACAGUAUAAAAUAUGUUUAUACAUAAAGGUACCUUCCAUCGAGUUGAAGCCUUCGUUGCAUGCGUGAUAAGUAUAAUAACCUCAAAAACCUAACCAUUUGUUUCCUUUUUGGAAUUUCCGACACUUGAAGAAAGAUGGUGUUCUUCUAGUUGAAAUGAACUAGCAAUUAAAAGCAAAUAUUGGAUACAUAAUUUUCUCUUUGUAUACUAAGUAGUUAAAAUUUCUGUUAUAAAAUUGUUAUGUUUGAAUAAUUUGGUGUAAUAAUGUUUGCCAUGAAGCAAUCUAAAUAAUUCCUUUGUAACUAUAUUACAUGUGUACAGAAUAAACUGCGAUUAUUCUAUUUUAAUACAAAGGUAUUGUUUUGUAUCUUUCGUAACAAAUUAUUUAGAAAUACAAAAUAGUAAUCGGGGCCUCCAUGACCGAGUGGUUAAGUUCACUGACUUCAAUUCACUUGCUCUUCAUCUCCGUAGACGUCUGUCAGUGUCAUCAUGUGAAAUAGCUAUACAGAUGACUUUCAGAACGUCGAUGUUUUUCCCUGCGUGCCCACUCGUGACUGCGGGGUGUUUCUUUUCAUCAUUACAGCUGGAAACGCAACACAUUACAUACAGUUGAGUCUGCAUGACUUUAAACUAACAUACUAAAUCAAACUUAAUUAUUAAUAAUGUUUUAUGGUUCCUUUAUUGAUGUGAAAUUCUUCAUGCGUAAUAUAAUCAGUUAUAAUGAUGUCUUUCUAUGACAUGUAUCAUUCAGUAUAAACUGUUCAAAUUAUUACACAUAUGCUUUAUUUAAAACCAAAUAAAUAUCCAAAUUAUGUUUAUGGUGUAUAGAAAACUUUAUUAGAAGAAUACAGAACAUCAUGUUUGUACUUGUUACUUUUUUAAACUAAACCUGGGAUCCUUACCAAGAACAGGGCGGAGCUUCUUGAACUUUGCUCCUCCCAUAUAAGCUAUACUUAUGCUGGUCUGACAAAAACAACUCAUAAUAAACCUGAGGUAGAUUUUCGAAAGGAAGCAUUAAUAGGUAUAUCUGAGCCUACAGUUGUUUUAAAAAUGUCUGAUGUAAAUGUAGCUGAGGAUAAACACAUAUUUGAAACGAACGACGAACAUUGGGAAGAUUAUUGCUGUAGUGAUAGAGAAAAUGGGAAUUUAAUACUGAUUUGCUAUUGCGGAGUUUUUAACUGGUAUGAUCCUAGACGAAUAAGAGGACGCAAAUUUCAUGUUUCACCGAAUUGUUGCCUUGUGAAAGUUGGAAACAAAUUCAAAGUUCAAUGCUAUUGUCCAAGAGACCGACCAACUAAUAGACGCUAAAGAAGAAAAAUGAACUUAGAGAACCGUAUCCAGGCAAAGUCAACAUCGAUGUCUACAUCAAAAGAAAUAAUAAAAGUCUCAAUGUUUACUGAGAAAACAAGUUAUAUAGGCUAAGUGAUCUGUGUUAUAAGAUCUAUUUCAACUUGUCAUUUGAUAAAUAAAAUAAAACGUCAAAUGCAAUAUAUGUAUUUGCGAAUCAAUAUUGAAUUAAAGUUACUAGAACUUUUGUAUAUAUCUCUGCUCAUAUUUCAGUUACAGAUAAAAAAGAAUCUUCUGAUCUUUUAAUUCAGUGUGUAUUUCAUCAGAUAAAGAAUCAAAUGUAUUUGAAUAUACGUAUGUCUGGUCAUAAAUAAAUAUUAUAAACUUAAUGUAGUUGUGUUGUGCUGUGAUAUGUUUAACAUUGGUUUAUCAUACCUGCACAGUGGACCAAGAAAAUGUUAAAAUCCCUCUUAGACAUUUAUUAUAGAAAGAAACUCAACCAUUAUGUAUAGUGACUGUGAAAAUUCCCUUUACGAACAAAUAUUUAUUGAAAACAAUCUCUAAUGAAAAUUCAACAUGAUUGAGAAUUAUACUCAGCAAAGACUUAGUACAGACUUAAAUUAUACGAAUAUCUCACUAGAAUAGUGUAAACUAUAGAGACGUUAAAAUUCUUAAAUAAGAAAACCGGCUAGAUUUAAUCAUUGGUUCUAGAGUAUCUGCCGCUGAUGGAGUCAAAAUUUACUAUUUUGGCCUUUUCAGCUAUAUAGAUCUGCAAUUUAUGUUUUGGUUUGAUACAAACUUGCAAAGAUGAUCUCUUGAUGAUAUAUAUGUUAAGUUGAAACUGUGUAACGUUGGGUUAAAAACUAAUUCAUCUGGUCAAAUAAAAGGAAACACCCUAGAGACAUUUAUGAUCCUGUCUUCACGAAACUUGGUCAGAAUGUUUAUCUUGAUACAUUCUGUGUUCAGUUUAAAACUGGAUUACGUUGGGUCAGAAACAAGCUCACCCGGUCCAAUCUAAGAAAAGGCUUGUUAUCACACUUGAGGCAACAUUUAUGAUUUUCCCAGAGACUCUGAUUAUGAAAAUUUGCGUUGGAUUCAAAUUGUUGCAACCAGUCUAACAAAAACAAUCAAGCACAUGACCCUAUCUUCUUCAUUUGCUGGAUUUUCGAUGUAUAUUCUGAAUAUUGAUAAAAUUCUACAUUUUAUAAAAUGUGCAGAGUUACCUUAUUAUCAAUAAAAAUUACCUCAGGCGAAAAAAGGACAGUGGCUCUUCCAUCCAGUUUCUACCAUGUAACUGAUUCCUUAAACAACGUAUUUCAAAAUAGGCUUUUUGUGUAUAUAUUUUUGCAAUCAAUUACUGUAUAGUUCAAAAUGACUCAAAGUAUAAUGCAUUACCCUAUGUCGAUUAUAACGUAUAUAUUUGACUCAGACUUGAUUAUUAAAAUACACCAGCCUCUAUAAGCUAUAUACUAAUAGGUUUUAUCACCAUUAAUCCUUUGAAUGAAAAUUGUUAAUUCGCUUAAAGGCUAAAGCUUCACUUCAUAUGACCAACUUAAUCCUACAAUAUGGAAUCGCAAGCGUAUAUGGCUUUGUGAACUAUAUACAAACCACAACAAUAUGAUAUUAAAAUCGAAAAGAACUGAUCGUAGUGUUAACCAAAACGUUAACUGAAUGGACGUUCUUUAUUCGAAGACUUUUAGUAUUUGGCUACAAACGGCUUUAAAAGAUUUAUUGUAAAUUCCCGAAAAUCUUAUACCUAAACAGCAGUUUUCUUAGCACGUGUACUCUCAACAUAUUUUAUCUGUCUGUGUUAUUCAAACAAUUUUUCCAAGUUUCCGAGGAUACGUUCAAUCGUUAAAAUUGAUAUGACGCCAUAUGUGUCUCUUUAAAAACUUGGGUACCCAAAAUGUUUCAGGCGGCGUGUCAAAUGGCAAAUGCUUACAAUAUCUUUAGUUUUAAAGAGUUAUCCCAUUAUCAAGGUAUUGAAGUUUAGAACAUCCACGCUUUCAAGAGAUAUCACUGAUAAAAAUAAUCCGUAGGACUACUUUGUUGCCAAAUUUUAUUUGUUUGACAUUUUCUUGAUUUUAUAUUUGAAGAAAAAAAAACAACAAUAUUGCAUUUAAUAAUCAUACAUGUCAUAAAGUAUUUAAUUUUUUUCAAAUGACUGAUUUUAUAACAAAUGUGUGUUUUACUUUUAAAUAAGUUUAAUCAAUAUCAGUAUUUUAUAUAAUUAUUUGGAUUUAUAUAUUUAUUUGAGAUGGAGAGAUGGACAUAUGUAUUACAUGAAAAUUGCGGCAUUUAGGUAAACAUGAAGUUUAUCUGGUAUAGAUAAACCGACAAUUGAAAUCAAAAAUUGACUAAACUUUAGAAAAAAACUCUUUUUAAAAACAACUAAUGCGUUAUGUUAAACGUUCUGUAAUGAACAUACUUUGUUUGUUUGAUUUUUUUGCAAUGUUUGCCGUAUAAUUGUUUUAGUCAUUUAUUUGUAACAUGUGUACACAAUAAGGUAUGCUUUGUCUGUUCCAAUACAAAAGUGAUCUUGCUACUUCAGUAAUAAUAUAUUUACAUAUAGCUGCUUAGAAAUUCAGAAUAGUAAUCUGGGCCACCGUGGCCAAGUUUUUAAUUUUAUUUACUUCAAACCUUUUGCUUCUUGCCUCUAUGCGACCUCCGCUGGGUGCAUUAUGUGGGAUAGCCAUAAAAAGGACUUUCGGAAGGUCGAUGGUUUCCCGAAAUGCUCUACUAGAAGUAUACAAAAAACAUUUUUUGUGAUUGCUACAUUUUUAAAAAAACACUGGAAUCCUUGCCAAAACAGGGCGGAGCUUCUUGAACUUUGUUCCUCCUUUAUAGACUACAUAAAUGCUAGUCUGACAAAUACAGUCCAAAUAAACCUGAGGUGGGUUUUCGUAAGAAGUCUUUAAUGAAUACUGUUUAACUGUUGUAAAAUGGCUGAUGUAAAUUUAUCUAAAGACAAAGAACUAUUUGAAACGACCGUACACUCAAGAUUUUGCGACUGUGAUAAAGAAUGUGGGAUUUUAAUACUGAUUUGUCGUUGCGGUUUUAUCAAAAAAUUUAUUCCUAAACGAAUAAAAGGGUGUAGACAUACUUCAUCUGAAUGUUGCCUUGUGAAAGUUGGAAAUACAUUCAAGGUUCAUUGCAAAUGUCCGAGAGGACCAACCAACCUAUAGACGCUAAAGACGAAGCAAAGUCAUCAUCGAAGUCUACAUCAAAAGAAAUCAAAAACAGUUUAACAGAAAACAAGUUAUACGUAAAUUUGUCUUGCUGUGAUACGUUUAGCAUUAAUUUAUUAUAUCUGCACAAUAGACCAAGAAAAUGUUAAAAUGCCUUUUGGACCUUUAUCAAAGGAGAAACCGCGGGAUAAAAGAGUGAUAUAUUUCAACCAGUUAUUUCCUUAUCUGGCAAAGAUAGGUGGAGAUCUAUGUAAUAUUAAUCUUAAUAUUUUAUUGAAAAGUGUAAUGUAAAUAUAUAUAAAUAAUGAACAUUAUAUUGAUAUUUAUUUGUAAACUAAAACAAAAAAAAAAAGAAACAAAAGAUAUCUAAGGUCUAAACAAAACAGUAACGACUGAGAAGAGAACGAGUUAUCGAACACUUUAUAUUCAAUAAAAUGUGUGCAAAUGAACUCAACAUCGCCUCUAUUUUCAAAAUAUAUGACCGAGAGGUGCAUUAGAGUGUGAUCAUGUAUAUCUUUGUUCCUGUACAGACAAAUUAAAACGUGCAUUAACAUGCUGACUAUCUUACUAUUGUUAAUAUACCAACGUUUAGAAAUGUUAUAAUUGCAAAAUUAAGGUUAAAAAUCGAUAAGUACUGGCCGCCAUAGAAACAUUGUAAAGAAUCGCCGCCCUUGCAUUUAUGUAUUUUAUUUGUAUUUUUUCGACAUAUGACGAUAUUAAAAGGUUAUCACUCUAAAAAUGUGUAUGUUUGAUGUGACACAUUAUGUUUUGUAAAAUUGUGACUGUCAUAUACAUUUAUGUCAUUUCGAUAUGCUGUAUGCUUAAUUCAAAACAAAACUUCUGUUCUGUUCUUUUUGUUAUUUGUUUUGUAGUGACAAGGUAAGCUUUUGUAAUUGCCCGUCGUCCGCCGACAAUUUCUCGUGAACACGAUAGAGAACACAUUUUGCAAUCGAUUUUAAUCAAACUUGCACACAACUUGUAUCGGCUUUUUCGGCCCUAAAGAGACUUUAUUCAUGAUACAAUAUAAACUUGCAAAACAUCUUUAACAAGAAUAGAUCUUUGAUUCCAUGGUGUAUCAGUCAGAUCCAAUCAUAGUUUCCGGAGUUACAGCCCCUGAUUGACUGACCCCCGAAAGAGCCAAAAUUUGUUAACCUUAUGAACACGGCAGAAGUGACAUUUUCAAAACUGGGUCAUGUUGGGUUAAAAAACUAGAUCAUCAGAUCGAAUAAAAUAAGUAGCUUGUUAACACCCUAGAGGCCACAUUAAUAACCCUGUCUUCAUGAAACUUGGUCAGACCGUUUUAUCCUAGUAAUUCCUGUGUCAAAUUUAAUACUAGAUUCUAUGGGGUCAACAACUAGUCUUCCCAGUCAAAUCACAGAGAAAGCUUGUUAAUACUCCUAUUUUCAUGAAACCUGGUAAGAAUGUUUAUCUUGAUGAUUCCUAGGCCAAAAUCAUGUGGGGUCAAAAAACAAGGUCACCCGUUCAAACCAAAGGAAAAACUUGUUAAUCCUCUAUUUUUUCAUAGACCUAUUUGAUUAUUGAAGCAAUUGCAAAGAAAUUUGAACCACAAGUAUAAUGUUCCCUUUGUGUGUUAAUCCUUGUUCUGCUUUCCCCUUCGGCUUCCUGCCCGACCCCACCCCACCCACCUCCAUUUUAACCCUAACCACUCCCCCACUCCUCUAUCUAUAUACUUGGCAUUAUUUAAUAUGUACUAGUUAGAUUUUUGAAGCCAAUCGUCUGUAAUUAUCCCAUUACAGCUUCUUUCUGUUGUAGACCUACUUUGCAAAGGCGUGGCUCUGAGACUGUGUUUUUGGUGCUCUGUGUUUCCGAAAAAUCUACCCUCACCUAUUACCUUUUAAAAUAGAUUUGUUUUCAAUGCUUAUCUUAAUCGUGACCUUCUGGCCUACAUUUUCGUUUCUGAAGGUACAGCAUAGCAACUGAAUCCACAUGCAUAUUGUCUUACACAGAUUUCUGUACCCAUCUUGGAUAGUCUUAAUCAUGACCUACUUGGCCUACUUUCUUGUUUUUGAAGGUACAGCAUAGAAAUUUGGACCACAUUUAUAACUUUUGAUACAGGUUUCAAUGCUCAUUUUAAGUAUUAUUAACCCUGACCAACUGACUUACUUUCUAGUUUUUGAAGCUACAGCAAAUUGGCUUUGACCUCCUGGAUAACUUUUGAUGCAUAUUUCAAUACUUACCUUAAGUAGUUUUUGUCAGGACCUACUGACUUCAACUUACCUUCUUGAUUUUGAAGUUACAGCAAAGAAAUUCGGACCACACGUAAAACGUUUGAUACAGAUUUUAAAACGUAUCUUGAACAGUCUUAAACAUGACCCACUGACCUAUUUUCUUGUUAUUACAGUUUCUGCAUAGAAAUCUGGCCCACAUGUGUAACUUUUGCUUCGUAUUUCAAUACUUAUCUUUAAUAUUCUUAACCCUGACUUGCUGACCUACUUUCUUGUUUUUGAAAAUAUAGAGAAGAUAUUUUGGCUAACUGUAUGUUCUUAAUAGAUUUCAGUAAUUACAUUCAAUAAUCUUAAUCAUGACCAGCUCACUUUGUUUUGUUUUUGAAUUUGUUCAAGCAACCCACUAAACUCAGGUGAGCGAUAUAGGACCAUCACGUCUCUCUAGUUUGUGUUAAUUUUUUUUAUUUGAUUCCAAAUUUUACUUUAUAUCCUCACUCUCUUCAAGUUCAUUACGUAUUAAAUCGACAAUAUUUCUUAAAUAAACUAAACCACGCCUUUUUUACUUUCACGGAUUCUGUUUCCCAUUUCAUUGGCCAAUACAUUUAUGUCUUUCGUUUGUACAUAUAUUAUUGGGGCGUGAAGGUGGCUGCAAAGCCAAUGUUUGAAAAAAAGGUUUUUUGGUGAAACGGAUGAUCCGACUUUAUUGCAACUGUUUAAAGGUAAGCGCAGAUUUUCAAGAAAAACAAGAGUACCCCAAACACCGCGAUAGUGCCACAUAUUGCAAUGUAUGCCCGUGACAAAAAGUAAAACUGUAAGGGAAAAUAUAUAGCAGAAAUACAAAAACGGGUAAGGAGUACAUAAAUGGGUGGGUUGGUUGUAGGGAAAAGUUGAAAAAGCAAUAUUCAAGACGCUACACAUUUACACAGUUUCUUUACAUCGCUAAUCACAUCAGCACAAAAACGCACGUACAUAAGACGAACACACACACUUAGACACACAGAUAUAUGUUACAAAACUAAUAUCGUGUAAUAUACGCUUACUGAAUGGCUUGCCGGUUAAUAAUUCUGUGCUAUACACGUUAUAUAUUACAUUCUAAAAAUAUAAAACGGGUAAAUGCGGUUUAAUCAGUCAUAUACCUUAAUACGUGAUAGGGUUUUAUAAGUUUUGUGUUUUACACUGCAACGUUUGUUCUGCCUCAUUAAUGCGUGAAGACGUCAAAGGCUUUCGCGACGUUCUUGUUACGUCUCUAAACGCUUUUGUUAAUUUAUCUUAAAGCAUUAGUUAAUGAAAAUGGCUUCUUCUGUUUCUUUUUUCACUUUAUUCGACAAAGUCUUGCGCAGUUUAUCAUAUUUGGUUUAUGGUACAGAAACGUAGUAAUAGAUAUCGUUCCAGGAUACGCGUUUCUAUUUUUACUGUGCAUUUCACGAAUGGAAAUACCAAAUAUGAUAGGUCUAAUUUCAGAAACAUAUUGCCAAACAUUAGGCCUUUAGAUAAAGUGAUAUCCAAUUUGAUAAAGAAAAUUCAAUACCUUUUUGAGAGAUAUAUAGGUCAUUGAUAAUGUAGUGCUACAAUGAGGUUAUCAAACGGUUCAAAAGCCUUUUUAUAACAACACCUGAAUGAACUUGUAUUUCAAAGCAGUACAAUGAUCUAAAUGUUGUUUCACGGAACCUUUUUAGCAAGGCUAACUUGAAAUAAGUCGUUACUUUAGAUGUAGCCAGACCAUGACUAAAAAUGAAACAAAAUAUGGUGACCACCUACCGGAUAUCGAUGCUUUUAAAAAGCGAUAUCAAACACAUUCGCAUAUAUGCAAUAUAUGUUACGUUUUGAGUAAAUAGUACUAUGGACAGAUAGUAAACGACGUGGUAUCCAUACGUUACUUGAAACCACUGUAAACGUGCUCUUUUCUAACGUGCGGUAGCACAAGUGCAGAACAUUUAAUCUACAAUUACUUGCAAACGGAGUGACCUUGACCUUGGAACAUGAGAUAUCUCGCUAUUUAUCUGUUGCACAACUUUGAAACGGCAUAUAAAAAGCCUGUCAUAACAUAACAGUUUGGAAAAAACUAUUUGUUCAGUAAUAUAAAGACUCAUAAAAGACUUAUUACGGCGGGCAAAUAUAUAAGCACGAAUGAACCAAACCUGUUCUGGAAAUCUUUAUCAUUCAUUUAUAGGUAUUAUUGAUCGAUACCAGCAUACGCAACCUGGGAACACAGAACACGGAUAAAGAGUAAAAUUAUGUAUCGUCUAAAAACAGCAGGCCAAUGGCAAGGCGUUACUAUUUUUAAAGAAAACACUGGUAUAUAAAGAAACAACGUGAUAGAGAAGAUAUAUUUAUACCCUUUAGAAAUUUACUUAAUGAUAGUCGUCAGUAUGGGUGAUGUUAACGCUACGAAAAUCUUUCUUGGAAUUGUGAUGGUGGUGUUUUUUCCAAUUACACUUACGUACCUUUUGAUCAGGUACAUAUUUCGCGACAACAAUGACAAAUAUCCGAGAGAAGUUCCGCAGGACAGAAGAGUCUAAAAUAGUUUAAAACGUGAUCGCCAAAUUAAUAUUUGCCAGGGAUAAUGAAUUUGUAUCUACAGUGUCGUAAAUUUUAACAUUCUUUGUAAUCGACGGUACCCUUAGUAGUACGCGGUGGAAAUAAAUAAACCGAAAGAAACUAGAAUAAAAAGAUGUGCAAAAUAAUGUGCAAAGAAAGUUUCAAAACUCAGAAAGGGUCAAGAAGCCAUGUCACUUUAACCAAAACCACAGCCAACGAGACAAACAAUGAAAGUUGACAGCGGCAGAUUUCGUUCUAAUGUGUUUCUUACAUGUCAGCCUAAAUGCAUUAAAGCAUUAUCUUGAAAGAAUAAGCUUUCAUUGAACCGAUUGUGUCAAUAUUAUUUGCUUAUCUUAAAGUACCGACUAAUACAAACAAACUGAAUACAAUUAGGAAUAUUUUAAAAAAGCAUUUAAAUUUAUUUACGUUAUUUGGUAACAACAUUACGUGAACCAUUUUAAGAAAAUAAAUAUCGGUCAAAUGUAGGCGGGCAGUCAACACGACGGUCAUUCGUCUAGCCGCAGGGUACCUGUGCUAUUUUCAGGAACAACGUGCAUAAAGUACAAAAACAAAACAAAAAAACAUCAAAACAGUUCAGUAACUUCAAAUGCUCUUUUCAAUUUGGCGACACACAUUUCAAAUAUGUUUCAAUUAUUAUUUUUAAGCAAUUUUUGAAAUGAACAAUGGGUUGGAUAAAGCUGUAUCACAUGGAUCAACAAACAAAUAUUGAAACAUUUUAAUCAGCAUGGUGUUGGACGCAGCCUAUGAAACUGAUGUAUAGAUAAAUGAAACUACAACACUUUAUCAGACAAUGUGAUACUGGACAUUGCUUAAAUAUUACACAAAAACAUUGAAGAAACUGUGCCAUUUUAUCAAACAUGAUUAUUUUUCCAUUUUCUCGUGAAUCAAACAUGUGUUUACGUAAGAAAAUGCAUUACGAUUCUAUUUCUUGUUUACAGUUAAUCGUAUUGUAACCAUGUUUUAUUUGCAUAUUUUGUUUCAUUUAUGUUGUUCCAUAGUACAUUUAGUCAUUUCUCUGUUAAUAAACAUGUAACGAAGUUAG
rnacentral:lncRNA from 1 species